ACGAUUUCGGUAUGAGUUAAUUCGUUGUUCCCCGGCUGAUUUAUGAGAUCCUGGGUUGCGUUCUUGUCCCACCAUUUGUUUCGACCUAUCCGUGCAUCCCCUUCCCACCUCAAAUUCCAGCAUGAAUCAGCUCCUCAAGCCGAGCUUGCUGUAUGUGCAACGAUUUGAGAUGCGAGGUGUUCACUGGGCUGGAUUGGAACUAGAGACUAGGUGAGAUGCGUGCUUUUAAUUUUUCUGUUUGUACAAAAUGAUUGUGACAUGAGGAAGGAUCAUUUGCAGAAAACAAGAAUGUACUGCAGGUUUUGCUGCACAAACUUUGGAAGUAAUGUUGUUUGUUCAUUCCCAUAAUAUUAUUUUUUCCUGGUCGGUUGGGCAUAUAUGCCUAUAUUAUGUUUGUGAAUUCUAUCAUAUGCAACUACUUUGCAUGAAUUUCCUAGAUAACAUUUCCUUAUGGGAAAAUUUGUUUUUGCAGGAGGCAUGGGAUCUCAUCUCUGGAGACGCUUCUCAAAAUUGUCCAAUAAUUGUGGCCUCCUCCUUGCGACCAUCAGGUGCAGCAGCCCCAUCAGGUCGGCCUGUGUGUUUCGCGCCGGUGGCUUGGAAGACGAAAACGUGUAGGAGCAGAAGUAGUGCAAGGAAGACGCCACGGUGAGCAGAAGCAGUGCAAGGAAGACGCGGACGUGUGGAAGCAGAAGCGGGCUAUGCUCUGUGCUUCGCAGCUACACUCACGUGCACCAUUACCGAGCAAUGGAGAACCAAAGGUUCCCAUCAAGGCCUUCACUUUCAGGAGGGCUACCGGACAACGGUGAGGAGCGCGGCCACUUGGUCGACCAUUGGAGCAUUGCAAUUCGGUUCAUGGCAGAAUGCUCCUAAAGCUUUUUUCUCCUCUGCACUGCUACCGUGAACCCCUCCAGACAGUGUUGUCUUCUUUCCCACCCUGACAGCUGCCUCUAAUGGCAGAAUGUCAUGUUUGGUCUCGCUGGACUGGGAACAAAAGCUUCUUGCCAAGGUUACUUUGGCACGUCCGUGGCCGGAUCUUACGCUAGAAGCUUUGUGCAGUUUUCUUGAUGUAUAUGUGUGAUUAUGUGCUUAAGAAGAACUUGCAGGCUCAUAUCUCUCUCUAUAUAUCUCUCUCCAUAAAUCACAAUGUAAUAUACGAUUUAUCACCACCUUAGAACAUCAAUUAUCUGAACUUUGAGCCAUAUAUUUGGACGUCCUGAAGGCAAAGCUUUAUCUGUAUUCUUUGUUGACAGGUUCAGAUCUAUAAGGAGGAGAUGAGAUGAUCAUGUGUUUUAAGUUUUUUGAGAGAAAUAUCAGAAUUGUAGCACGUCCAUCAGAACUGUGGAUUAUAUAUAUCUGAUACAUGUACCUAUCUUCAUAGCAAAGAGGUAAAUGGAUGACCAUACUGUACCUUCUACUAUGAUGGCUCAUAUUCUAAUUUAUUAUUGCACUUUUCAGAUUGACUACAUGUUGCCUAUAGUCUCUAAGAUGGAACAUAUAUGCUUUUUACUGGAUUUUUUUGUGUUUGCCCUAGAAGAGACCGCCGUCAGUGGAUCUCCUCCAGCAUCGUGAAUAUGCGGCACCAAUAGCAGCAUCAACACAAGGUUUCCUCUAGGCUCGCUCAGGUUUUGCAUUUGUACCAUGGUUAUUUGUAGUCCGAUGAUUUUUAACGGUAAACUAUAGGAACAAAUAACCAUUGACUGGAUUAUAUAUCCAAACACAUCUCUUGAUUAUUUACUCCCAGUUUUACAAUGUUGAAUCUGUGAAAAAAAAAAGCGCUGUUACACACAAACAUAGGGAUGAUAUCUUUCUCCUUUUGUAUGAAAUUUUGUAAUUCUCUGAUCUAUUUCAUCGCCACAUUAAUAUUUUAUAUUUCGUACUCUUCGGAUAUAAAUGUGAACCUAAGACUAGAAGGAUAUGAUCAUGCAAGUAAAUGCAUAACGUAUGCCUACGAAAACAAAGAAAUGGAGCUUUUUUGGAAGAAAAAGAAAUGGAGCUGACAAUAGGGGACUUACACUUCAGCAACUCACAAGAACAAUCAUAUAAUUUCUCGGGUAGACUAUCUAUUUAACAUUCUUUCGGUGCCAAGUGAGUUUUUUUGGCUAUAUUUUCCUGCCCAAGUAAUUAUUUUAACUCAUGUUGAUUUUAUAAAAUUAUCCUAGGGAUGUGGAUUUUCCCUUUCCUCUAUAAAGAAGUACGUUAUGCUGGAAAAAAAAGAAAAAUCAAGGGAAGCUGAGGUAUGUUCUUUUGUGUCCUAAUUAUAAGCAUUACCAGUUUUAUGUGUCAAGGUUCAGUAUAGUUAGAGCCACUAUCCUAUUUCAUGCACACAGCUGCAAACAAUUAGUAAGGUUUAAAUGUAUCUGACUUUGUUUAUCUUAAGAUUGAGUGGACUGGCUAUAUUUUAAUUUAGGCAGUUCUGUCGACCUCUAACUAAUGGAAAUGAGAGAAGCCUCAGUUCACAUUAUAUAUGAUUUAUAUGCAUUUCUUAAUCAACGUGUUGAGAAGUAUAAUCAUGCCACUUGGUAAUACUAUCACAUUUUCUGUUGGCCCUCAUUUCAGAUAAGGAACAGUUGUGGCAGGCUGGCAGCAGGUGUCCUUGCACAAAUUAGAAUACCAAUGUAUAUCCAUUUUCUUGCUAUUUUAUAUGAAGAUGGUAAACAAUAACACAAUUUUCUGCUCUUGAGAAGUUAUCUCUAUUAUACUAGGAUUACCAUUGAGAUUUGAUUGCUAAGACACUUACCAAUUUCUUCUUCUUGGAAAUCAAUAUAUCACUCUGAGUCGAAUGUAUGCAGUGAGUUCUCA